UACGUAGGGUGCAAGCGUUGUCCGGAUUUAUUGGGCGUAAAGAGCUCGUAGGCGGUUUGUCGCGUCUGCUGUGAAAACUGGGGGCUCAACCCCCAGCCUGCAGUGGGUACGGGCAGACUAGAGUGCGGUAGGGGAGAUUGGAAUUCCUGGUGUAGCGGUGGAAUGCGCAGAUAUCUGGAGGAACACCGGUGGCGAAGGCGGCAUCCUGGACCGGCAUUGACGCUGAGGCGCGAAAGCCAGGGGAGCAAAGCGGGAUU
rnacentral:rRNA from 1 species